rnacentral:rRNA from 1 species
GAUGAACGCUGGCGGCGUGCCUAAUACAUGCAAGUCGAGCGAACAGACGAGGAGCUUGCUCCUCUGACGUUAGCGGCGGACGGGAGAGUAACACGUGGAUAACCUACCUAUAAGACUGGGAUAACUUCGGGAAACCGGAGCUAAUACCGGAUAAUAUAUUGAACCGCAUGGUUCAAUAGUGAAAGACGGUUUUGCUGUCACUUAUAGAUGGAUCCGCGCCGCAUUAGCUAGUUGGUAAGGUAACGGCUUACCAAGGCCACGAUGCGUAGCCGACCUGAGAGGGUGAUCGGCCACACUGGAACUGAGACACGGUCCAGACUCCUACGGUAGGCAGCAGUAGGGAAUCGUCCGCAAGGGGCGAAAGCCUGACGGAGCAACGCCGCGUGAGUGAUGAAGGUCUUCGGAUCGUAAAACUCUGUUAUUAGGGAAGAACAAAUGUGUAAGUACCUAUGCACGUCUUGACGGUACCUAAUCAGAAAGCCACGGCUAACUACGUG